UCGAGAAUUUUUCUCAAUGGGGGAAACCCUGAAGGAGCGACGCCGCGUGGAGGAUGAAGGCUUUCGGGUUGUAAACUCCUGUCAUUUGAGAACAAGUGCUAGUAACUAAUUACUACUAGCUUGAUAGUAUCAGAAGAGGAAGAGACGGCUAACUCUGUGCCAGCAGCCGCGGUAAUACAGAGGUCUCAAGCGUUGUUCGGAUUCAUUGGGCGUAAAGGGUGCGUAGGUGGCGCGCUAAGUCAGGUGUGAAAUCUCGGGGCUUAACUCCGAAACUGCAUUUGAUACUGGCGUGCUUGAGGACUGGAGAGGAGACUGGAAUUCAUGGUGUAGCAGUGAAAUGCGUAGAGAUCAUGAGGAAGACCAGUGGCGAAGGCGGGUCUCUGGACAGUUCCUGACACUGAGGCACGAAGGCCAGGGGAGCAAACGGGAUUAGAUACCCCUGUAGUCC
rnacentral:rRNA from 1 species